GGAUGGAUAAAAUAAAAUAAUAUAAUAGUACACAUUACUGAGGAAGCUGAAGAGAGCUGAUAUGGUACAUAGUCUUCUCCAGUAUAUCAUAUACUAUAACGUGAAAAUAUUUUAAUUUUACUAAAAUAGGUAGCUAAAGACUACAUUCAACUUUACUGUACCUGCUGUAUUUUUAUUUAUAAUUAAUUGUGGAAUUAUUGCUCUAUUUCACUGCUAUUUUUUUUUAUUCCCACUACGGUUUAGAAUGAUGGAGAAUGCAUUUAUUUCAGCAGUUGUGUAUACUGAAGGCUAUUUGAAUGGUUAAAAAUUAUUUUGCAUCAUCUUUUUCACCGCAUUCAUGGACACCUCUAUUAGUUGGUUUGUCAGCUGUAACCUGUCAGUUCUUGUGCAUGACAUCAAUUAUGUGACAAAAUAAAAGAGUUUACUUUCUGUCAUGUCACUCUCCCAAAUUGGACAUAUCCUAAUAGAUAUUUUACUAUUCACUUUCUGUUUAAAUAAUAUUUUCUCCAUGUUAUUUUCAAAUUGAAUUUCUGGUGUUUGUAUUGUACAUUAGAUGACAAUACUUUAAAUUCCCAGUUAGGAUAUUGGUUUGUUUACUGACGGCAUUCCCUUUUCCAGUCCUUUAUUCAUUUCCCUCAUGCUGAUUCAUUAUUGAGCAUAAUAGAAACUAAAAGGGGCACAUUAUUUUAAAUCUGCGCAGAUUGACAAAACAAUUAAAAAAAUACUUAAAAAAUGUUCACUCAUGCCUUUAUGAAACCAGACAAGCCCAAAAAAGAAGCUGUCGAGUUUUAUAUUCUAAAAAUCAAACGAAAUUUCAGUUUGAAAAGUCUAGACAUUAGAGGUUUAAGCAAUAAGUGAUUUGGACCGAGCAGAACAGAAACUUUUCCAUACUACAAGAAUUUCUGUCAGGUAGUUAGCUUAACACAAGCAUCUCCUCUAAACACUCCAGAGUCAAACAAAAGAGGGUUUCCCGUUUAUUGUGUAUACAGGAAAUAAAAGAAGAGACUGAACUCAGCAAUCCCAGGGAUGAAUGAGCAAUGCGAUCUUACUGACCGUGAAGGCAAAUUCCUCGUUUACCCUCACCUUUUCCCAGGCACACUCAGAAAUGCUCCAGCAAUAGUAAAAUGGGAAAAAAUACGCUUUUAUAUACUAUACUACCUUCAACAUGUGCUUAAUAAAUAUACCUAGUAAUUAAGUGGAAUGGAAAUAUGUUAUGUAUUAUAUUUUUAAUUUUUAACAGAGUACUUCCACGAUACAAUUGAAGGUCCUGGAGAUGAUUAUGAUAGCCUCUGGACAACUGCUUCCACUUUCAUCAUUCUUUUCUUCAUUACUCUGUUCUACAGCAUUGGAGCCACUAUUUUCAAGGUCAAAUAAAUGAACGCAUAAGAAAUUUUCAAGAAGAUACGCUUAUAAAACAAGUCAUUUUUAAGCAUUUUUUGCCUAUUACUUUGAAAACAUUUAUUUCCAUAUUAUGUUAUUGUUGUUGUGUGUUUAAAUCAUAUUUUUGUUCCUUUUGACUGUAUUUGAUGUUUUUGUAAAUGUCUUUCUUAUAAUUUGUAAAUAUUUUUUUAUCUUUACAAUUUAAGCAUUUAAUUAAAUGUUUUUAAAGACAA